AUUGAACGCUGACGGCAGGCCUAAUACAUGCACGUCGCACGAAUGGCGGACGGGAGAGUAAUGACUGGGAAACUGCGUGCUGGAGGGGGAUAAAUACUGGAAGCGGUAGCUAAUACAGCAUACCAUCAGAUGUGAACAGAUGGGAUUAGAUUGUUGUUGAGUUAACGGCUCACCAAGGCGACGAUCCCGAGGUGUUCUGAGAGGAUGCGCCGCCACACUGGAACUGAUACACGGUCCAGACGCCGACGGUUGGCAGCAUUGGGGAUGAUUGCACAGUGGUCGCAAGCCUGAUGCAGCCAUGCCGCGUGUAUGAAGAAGGCCUUCGGUUUGUAAAGUACUUUCAGAGGGGAGGCGUUACCCGCAUAAGAAGAACCGUCUAACUCCGUGCCAGCAGACGCGGUAAUAC
rnacentral:rRNA from 1 species